rnacentral:rRNA from 1 species
GUAGGUGGCAAGCGUUGUCCGGAAUUAUUGGGCGUAAAGCGCGCGCAGGCGGUCCUUUAAGUCUGAUGUGAAAGCCCACGGCUCAACCGUGGAGGGUCAUUGGAAACUGGGGGACUUGAGUACAGAGGAGGAAAGCGGAAUUCCAAGUGUAGCGGUGAAAUGCGUAGAGAUUUGGAGGAACACCAGUGGCGAAGGCGGCUUUCUGGUCUGUAACUGACGCUGAGGCGCGAAAGCGUGGGGAGCAAACAGGGAUUAGAUACCCUGGUAGUCCACGCCGUAAACGAUGAGUGCUAAGUGUUAGGGGGUUUCCCGCCCCUUAGUGCUGCAGCUAACGCAUUAAGCACUCCGCCUGGGGAUACGGCCGCAAGGCUG